UUAAGUUGCUGCCAAAAUUUGGAAGACACCAUAGCUAGGAUUUCUUUGCUUUCCCAAGCUCAUAAUCAAGAAAGACGAGAAGACUACCUCAAACGGGGAAAAGAGAAGGUAGUGGAGUAAAUUGCAAAUUUUUGAUAUUUUGCACCGAGUGACAUCAGCCAGCUCGAAAUUUGGACGAAGCCAGGAAAUCAUCCACACUAUCAUCAAAUUUUUGAGUAUUUUGUAAUUAAUAUUUUGAAAUAUGGCAUGUAUAGAUGACUUUAUGUGAUGUGGUAUAAAUAUAUAUAUAGUGUUGUUCGGUUUAAUAUGUUGGUGAUUAUUAAUGGAAAAAUUAUGUCUGAACAUAUAUCUGUAAUUGGUUGGAAAUAUUGAAGUUGUUUGAAA